AUCUAUGGCCAUGCCAGCCUGAACAUGCCCGAUCUCGUCUGAUCUCGGAAGCUAAGCAGGGUCGGGCCUGGUUAGUACUUGGAUGGGAGACCACCUAGGAAUACCGGAUGCUGUAGGCA
rnacentral:rRNA from 1 species